UACGUAGGGCGCAAGCGUUGUCCGGAAUUAUUGGGCGUAAAGAGCUCGUAGGCGGUCUGUCACGUCUGCCGUGAAAACCCGAGGCUUAACCUCGUGGCUUGCGGUGGAUACGGGCAGACUAGAGGUAGGUAGGGGGAGAACGGAAUUCCCGGUGUAGCGGUGAAAUGCGCAGAUAUCGGGAGGAACACCGGUGGCGAAGGCGGUUCUCUGGGCCUUACCUGACGCUGAGGAGCGAAAGCAUGGGGAGCGAACAGG
rnacentral:rRNA from 1 species